GGGCGGUUAGCUCAGCUGGUCAGAGCGCCUCGCUUACACCGAGGAAGUCACUGGUUCGAGUCCAGUACCGCCCACCA
rnacentral:tRNA from 2 species